rnacentral:rRNA from 1 species
AUUGAACGCUGGCGGCAGGCUUAACACAUGCAAGUCGAACGAGUGGCGGACGGGUGAGUAAUGCUUGGGAAUCUGGCUUAUGGAGGGGGAUAACGACGGGAAACUGUCGCUAAUACCGCAUACCAUAGGAUGUGCCCAAAUGGGAGUAGAUAGUUGGUGGGGUAACGGCCGACGAAGACGACGAUCGCUAGCUGGUCUGAGAGGAUGACCAGCCAAACGGGGACUGAGACACGGCCCGGACUCCUACGUGAGGCAGCAGUGGGGAAUAUUGCACAAUGGGGGCAAACCUGACGCAGCCAUGGCGCGUGAAUGAAGAAGGCCUGCGGGUUGUAAAGUUCUGUCGGUGAGGAGGCGUUACUCACAGAAGAAGCACCGGCUAACUCCGUGCCAGCAGCCGCGGUAAUAC